GCUAUGGCUGUAAAAGACCUAUGGACAAUGAGAGUGGUUUUUCAAAUGGAACAACCAACUCAUCAAUGGUGGACAAUACCAUGAAGAACCAAACGACUGAAGUGCAUAAUAUCACUAUGAACUAAGUAAAGAUUACUACCAGAAGCCCUGAGGCCCAAGUGCAAAACUGAUGACGUUCAUCACGAUCAGAAGAACUGUCAAUAAAAUUCAUUUAUAUAAAAA